UACAGCACAUCCUCUGCUGUUUCAUCCACAGGGAGAACCUGGCAGUCCUGGAAAACCAGGGAUCCCAGGAUCAGAUGGACCCUAUGGACCAAAGGGUGAACAGGGAGCAUCAGGGGAUGAUGGUGCCUCAGGGAUUCCUGGAGAGAAAGGAGAAAAGGGGUCCAAGGGAGUUCCUGGCUUGGGAGGCUUCAAAGGACAAAUGGGAUGGCCUGGGAAGACUGGAGUCACUGGACCAGAUGGGCCUCAAGGGCCACAGGGUGAGCCAGGGCCACAGGGUCCACGAGGGAAAAGAGGGAAAUCCCAGCUCUGCCUUAGGGGACCACCAGGCGUGGAUGGGCAGAAAGGAGAAAGGGGUGAAAAUGGUCCAGCAGGCCAGAAAGGAGAAAAGGGAGGUCCUGGUCUUUCUGAGGAAGAGGUGAAGGAGGUGGUGAGGAGCGAGAUGAGAGGCAGAUGUGAUUGUGGAGGUGAGUUGGGAAGGAUGCUCAUUGAAAGGGGUAAGGCUGCUAAUAUCUAUAGAAAUGCAUGUGAAUUCGUGCA
rnacentral:lncRNA from 14 species